GACGAACGCUGGCGGCGUGCUUAACACAUGCAAGUCGAACGGAAAGGCCCUGCUUUUGUGUGGUGCUCGAGUGGCGAACGGGUGAGUAACACGUGAGUAACCUGCCCUUGACUAUGGGAUAACUUCAGGAAACUGGGGCUAAUACCGGAUAGGAGCUCCUGCUGCAUGGUGGGGGUUGGAAAGUUUCGGCGGUAGGGGAUGGACUCGCGGGUUGUCAGCUUGUUGGUGGGGGAGUCGCUUACCAAGGCUUUGACGGGUAGCCGGCCUGAGAGGGUGACCGGCCAAAAGAAACAUGAGGUACGGCCGAGUUGACAACGGGAGCCAUCAGUAGGGAAUAAUGCAAAAUAGCCGGAAGAGCAUUAAAGCAACGACGAGUGCGGGAUAACGGUCUUCAGGUAGUAAAACGCGUUUGCCUAAGACGAGGCGAGAAUGACGGUAAUGGAUAAAGAAGCACCGGCUAACUACGUG
rnacentral:rRNA from 1 species